UACGUAGGAUGCAAGCGUUGUCCGGAUUUACUGGGCGUAAAGCGCGCGCAGGCGGCAAGGUAAGUAAGGUGUGAAAUCUAGUCGGCUGCAACCGGGAGGGUGCACUUUAGACUGCUUUGCUUGAGGUCGGUAGAGGGGGGUGGAAUUGAGCUGGUGUAGCGGUGAAAUGCGGUAGAAUAUCGAGAGGAACACCUGCGGCGAA
rnacentral:rRNA from 1 species